rnacentral:rRNA from 1 species
CCUACGGGGGGCAGCAGUAGGGAAUCUUCCACAAUGGACGAAAGCCUGAUGGAGCAACGCCGCGUGAGUGAAGAAGGGUUUAGGCUCGUAAAGCUCUGUUGGUAGAGAAGAAAGAUAGAGGUAGUAACUGGCCUGUAUUUGACGGUAAUUACUUAGAAAGUCACGGCUAACUACGUGCCAGCAGCCGCGGUAAUACGGAGGUGGCAAGCGUUGUCCGGAUUUAUUGGGCGUAAAGCGAGUGCAGGCGGUUCAAUAAGUCUGAUGUGAAAGCCUUCGGCUCAACCGGAGAAUUGCAUCUGAAACUGUUGAACUUGAGUGCAGAAGAGGAGAGUGGAACUCCAUGUGUAGCGGUGAAAUGCGUAGAUAUCUGGAAGAACACCAGUGGCGAAGGCGGCUCUCUGGUCUGCAACUGACGCUGAGGCUCGAAAGCGUGGGUAGCGAACAGGAUUAGAUACCCGUGUAGUC